AUUGAACGCUGGCGGCAUGCCUUACACAUGCAAGUCGAACGGCAGCACGGGAGCAAUCCUGGUGGCGAGAGGCGAACGGGUGAGUAAAGUAUCGGAACGUGCCCAGUCGUGGGGGAUAACGUAGCGAAAGUUACGCUAAUACCGCAUACGAUCUAUGGAUGAAAGCGGGGGAUCGCAAGACCUCGCGCGAUUGGAGCGGCCGAUAUCAGAUUAGGUAGUUGGUGGGGGAAAGGCUCACCAAGCCGACGAUCUGUAGCUGGUCUGAGAGGACGACCAGCCACACUGGGACUGACACACGGUCCAGACUCCGACGGGAGGCAGCAGUGGGGAAUUUUGGACAAUGGGCGCAAGCCAGAUCCAGCCAUGCCGCGUGCAGGAUGAAGGCCUUCGGGUUGUAAACUGCUUUUGGACGGAACGAAAAGGUUUGGCCUAAUACGCUGAACUCAUGACGGUACCGUAAGAAUAAGCACCGGCUAACUACGUGCCAGCCGCCGCAGUAAGAC
rnacentral:rRNA from 1 species